rnacentral:lncRNA from 1 species
AGUGCGCGCUGGCGCAAGGUUGGUGGAAGUCGCGUUGUGCAGGUUCGUGCCCGGCUGGCGCGGCGUGGGUCUCGGUGAUUCAGAAUACACCUACUUUUGCAAUGGGGGGAAGAUAAUUGAUAAACGACUUCAAGAGCUUGGAGCCCGGCAUUUCUAUGACACUGGACAUGCAGAUGACUGUGUAGGUUUAGAACUUGUGGUUGAGCCGUGGAUUGCUGGACUCUGGCCAGCCCUCAGAAAGCAUUUUAGGUCAAGCAGAGGACAAGAGGAGAUAAGUGGCGCACUCCCGGUGGCAUCACCUGCAUCCUCGAGGACAGACCUUGUGAAGUCAGAGCUGCUACACAUUGAAUCUCAAGUCGAGCUUCUGAGAUUCGAUGAUUCAGGAAGAAAGGAUUCUGAGGUUUUGAAGCAAAAUGCAGUGAACAGCAACCAAUCCAAUGUUGUAAUUGAAGACUUUGAGUCCUCACUUACCCGUUCG